UUCCAUUCUAUAUUAAUUUCUAAAUUGUACAAAUUGAUCUAAUUUUAUUCCUUAUUAGAGCUUGAAAUCUGUAAGAGAUUACGUUUAAUGGCAAAUGGUAGGUUUAUAUGCAAUUUAAUUCAUGUGUGUCUCGGACUAUUUCUGAUUUGCUAUUAUUCAGCUGAAAAUUUCACACAGAAUCCUGAAGUUUGAAGGAAAAAUUAGGAAAAGCAAAUAUAAUACUGUUAUCAAUGGAAGAGGUGGUUAAAUGUAUCACAAGCUUCUGCUGACCCAUAAAAUCAACAUAACAAGUGUUUAUUUGAAACAUGAGCAUAAAAGGGACAUCAAAUAACUUAAGCAUGACUAUGAAAUGAACUGAAACUCCAUGGAGAGCAAGCUCCGGUAAAGAAAAGCCUUUCAAUUGAUUUGACAUAUUGGUGUAGGGAGAAGCAGGAGUUUUGGAUAAAAUUAUACUGUCGAUUAUUUUUUAAAAUUGAUAAAGCUAACUUUCACUACACCAGCUGCACUCUUGUCCAGCAAGGCACCGAUGAAGGAUUCUGUUAUUGGGAGACCUGAUUAUGGGGCCAACACGGUCAUGCAUUUUUUGUGUGUCCAGCAAGGCACCAAUGAAGGAUUCUGUUAUUGGGAGACCUGAUUAUGUUGCCUCCUCGUAGUAGGGCUAGGGAAGCAGUGUCAGGUGGAUCCUGGAAGAGCACUGGUGUGGGAUCCGCUGCUGCCAGGUAUGCUUUUCUUCCUUCCCGUCCUCUCGAUCCACUUCCUCUCUUUGUUUCUGAAUUUUGCACUCAAAUUGUGAGGUGAGGCUAAAAAAAUACAGUGGUUACUGACGGCGGUGACGACGACGAAGAUUGUCCCGGCAUCUGGAACAGUGGAUGCAUUGAGCUCGAGAUGACGAUUAGCCACUACAUCCACGAUCACUGUUUUCCCCCUUCUUUUUGUGGAGAUGAUUUCAUUACUCUUUAUCAAUGCUGUAAUAACCAAGGUGCAUGUGUGACUUGUUCAAUCAAGUGUGUAAUGAACCCUGCUUAAUAUGGCUAAUUUUUUUAAAUAAUACAUUUUUUUGUAAAUUACAGAAAUAUUACGCUGAAAAAAGAAUUU
rnacentral:lncRNA from 1 species